GACGAACGCUGGCGGCGUGCUUAACACAUGCAAGUCGAACGGUAAGGCCCUUCGGGGUACACGAGUGGCGAACGGGUGAGUAACACGUGGGUGAUCUGCCCUGCACUUCGGGAUAAGCCUGGGAAACUGGGUCUAAUACCGGAUAGGACCACUGCCGGCAUGGGUGGUGGUGGAAAGCUUUUGCGGUGUGGGAUGGGCCCGCGGCCUAUCAGCUUGUUGGUGGGGUGAUGGGCUACCAAGGCGACGACGGGUAGCCGGCCUGAGAGGGUGACCGGGCACAGUGGGACUGGGAUACGGCCCAGACGCCGACGGGAGGCAGCAGUGGGGAAUAUUGGACAAUGGGCGCAAGCCUGAUGCAGCGACGCCGCGUGAGGGAUGACGGCCUUCGGGUUGUAAACCUCUUACAGCACCGACGAAGCGCAAGUGACGGUAGGUGCAGAAGAAGGACCGGCCAACUACGUGCCAGCCGCCGCCGUAA
rnacentral:rRNA from 1 species